rnacentral:other from 1 species
AUUACCCUGCCAUGUUCGUGAUACGAAACAAUCUCCUUGAACCGUAGUUAUCCAACGGGAGCCUUAAAAUCCUCGGCCACCGACAGGCCUUAACUGGAAGUCGAACGCCUUCGAUCCGGCUCCACCUGUUUCCCAGGCAGUUCACAGGAACUGUUCCACACGGCAUUACGGUGGGGUAUUU